AGGGUUCGAUUCUGGCUCAGGAUGAACGCUGGCGGCGUGCCUAACACAUGCAAGUCGAACGGGGUUUAUAAUAUGAAGUUUCGGACGGAAUAUUGUAAACCUAGUGGCGGACGGGUGAGUAACGCGUGGGCAACCUGCCCCAUACAGGGGGAUAACAGCCGGAAACGGCUGCUAAAACCGCAUGAAACUGCGCUGCCGCAUGGCGGUGCAGCCAAAUAUUUAUAGGUAUGGGAUGGGCCCGCGUCUGAUUAGCUAGUUGGUAAGGUAGCGGCCUACCAAGGCGACGAUCAGUAGCCGGCUUGAGAGAGUGACCGGCCACAUUGGGACUGAGACACGGCCCAAACUCCUACGGGAGGCAGCAGUGGGGAAUAUUGCACAAUGGGGGAAACCCUGAUGCCAGCGACGCCGCGUGAGUGAAGAAGUAUUUCGGUAUGUAAAGCUCUAUCAGCAGGGAAGAUAAUGACGGUACCUGACUAAGAAGCCCCGGCUAACUACGUGCCAGCCGCCGC
rnacentral:rRNA from 1 species